rnacentral:lncRNA from 1 species
GAGGUCGAGCCCAUGGUCGUGAUCCUUCAUCUCCUCACCCCAUUUCUGACUCAUCAGACUCCGAUCCAUCCAGUCAUGAUAUCUACUAGAUCUAGUGUAGUCUGUCUUUUCUUUAGUUUUUGUCUAGGAUGUGUAAUGCAAUGUUGACUGUUUGACUUUUGGAUAGUUUCUAUCCAUGUCUUUUGUACUUUGAGUCAACACUUAUGUAUUAAAACAUCUUUGUACUCAAAGAUCUUUUGAAUAUAUAUAUAUAU